CGCCUUUUGACUUAUUAACAUAAAAGGUCCUGCCUGCCCAGUGACACCUGUUCAACGGCCGCGGUAUUAUGACCGUGCAAAGGUAGCGUAAUCACUUGUCCUUUAAAUAAAGACCAGUAUGAACGGCAAGACGAAAGCCUAACUGUCUCUCUAUAUUUGUCAGUGAAAUUGAUCUUUCCGUGCAGAAGCGGAAAUAUUAUUAUAAGACGAGAAGACCCUGUGGAGCUUUAAGUUAAAGCCAACUAUUCAAUAUAGUAUGGUUAUAAGACUUUUGGUUGGGGCGACCACGAGGUAAAAUAAAACCCUCAGGAUAAAAUUUUAGAAGGACACUUCAAAUAGACAAAAUAUUGAUAUAUUGACCCAAAAAUUGAUCAACGAACCAAGUUACCCCAGGGAUAACAGCGCAAUCCACUCACAGAGUCCUUAUCGACGAGCGGGUUUACGACCUCGAUGUUGGAUCAGGACCCCCCAAUAAUGUAACAAUUAUUAAAGGUUCGUUUGUUCAACGAUUAAAGUCCU
rnacentral:rRNA from 1 species